UGUUAUGAUGAGCAACGGGUCUACCGAGCGAACCGGACGCGGUAAGCAAUGAGGAACCGUUGGAGCACUGAAC
rfam:Candidatus Methanoperedens nitroreducens strain ANME-2d ANME2D_Contig_1.1, whole genome shotgun sequence.